CAGCCGCCGCGGUAAUACCGGCGGCCCGAGUGGCGGUCACUAUUAUUGGGCUUAAAGCGUCCGUAGCCGGGUUGGGAAGUCCUCCGGGAAAUCUGGCCGCUUAAAGGUCAGAAUGCCGGAGGAUACUCCCAGCCUAGGGAGCGGGAGAGGCCGAGGGUAUUCCCGGAGUAGGGGUGAAAUCCUAUAAUCCCGGGAGGACCACCUGUGGCGAAGGCGCUCGGCUGGAACGCGUCCGACGGUGAGGGACGAAGGCCAGGGGAGCAAACCGGAUUAGAUACCCGGGUAGUCCUGGCUGUAAACGAUGCGGACUUUGUGUCGGACAAGCUAUGAGCUUGUCCGGUGCCGGAGGGAAACCGUUAAGUCCGCCGCCUGGGGAGUACGGCCGCAAGGUUGAAACUUAAAGGAAUUGGCGGG
rnacentral:rRNA from 1 species